UACGAGGGGGGCAAAUGUUGUUCGGAAUCACUGGGCGUAAAGGGAGCGUAGGCGGGUUCUUAAGUAAGGUGUUUAAUCCCGGGGCCCAACCCCGGACCGGCAUUUUAAACUGGGAAUCUUGAAUAGUGGAGAGGUCGGUGGAAUUGGAGGUGUAGCGGUGGAAUGCGUAGAGAUCUCCAAGAACACCAGUCGCGAAGGCGGCCGACUGGACACAUAUUGACGCUGAGGCUCGAAAGCAUGGGGAGCAAACAGG
rnacentral:rRNA from 1 species